rnacentral:lncRNA from 1 species
GCUGUAAUGCACUCUGCCAUGCUAACUCAGUAGCCUGCCAUUAUCUCAAGGUCUCCUUCGUCCAGCAGGAAAUGUGACCUGAUUAUGUUUCUAGUAAAAUUGUAGAGAGACAACUCCUCACUGAACUGUGUUUCUUUUUCAAAUAGCUGUUGAAAUGAAGUCAUCUAAAGUAUUCUCGUCAGGCCAUAGAAUGGACCGAAGCAUGCCAGCUGGUGACAAUAUCUUGGUUUCCCGAUCUACUGACUUCACCCAGGACAAAGUAAAUGGGCAAUUGCAUAGGAACAAAUGAUUGUUCUAGCUGAUGCAUGUCAGACUGGCAGCUGGCCCUGCAUUGGUGUUCCCUGCUGCAUUUUGAUCAUCGAGUUUCCCUCAGCCUUCACCAGCAAACCUAAGAUCCCUCGCACUCCUGAAGCGCAGAGUGCCAGCCCUAGAAAGGGAAAGGUCCCAGCCAUUGCCCCUCAGUUCUCUCAGUCUGGACCCCAAC